ACUCAAAUGAAUAGACGGGGGCCCGCACAAGCAGUGGAGUAUGUGGUUUAAUUCGAAGCAACGCGAAGAACCUUACCGGGGCUUGACAUCAUUAUGAAUAGCAUGGAAACAUGUGAAACCUUCGGGCAUAAUGACAGGUGGUGCAUGGUUGUCGUCAGCUCGUGUCGUGAGAUGUUGGGUUAAGUCCCGCAACGAGCGCAACCCCUAUUGUCAGUUGCUAACAUUCAGUUGAGCACUCUGGCAAGACUGCCGGUGACAAAUCGGAGGAAGGUGGGGACGACGUCAAAUCAUCAUGCCCCUUAUGUUCCGGGCUACACACGUACUACAAUGGCCGUCUAACAACGGGUAGCGAAGCCGCGAGGCGGAGCCAAUCCCCAAAAACGGUCUCAGUUCGGAUUGCAGGCUGCAACUCGCCUGCAUGAAGUCGGAAUUGCUAGUAAUCGCGAAUCAGCAUGUCGCGGUGAAUACGUUCCCGGGCCUUGUACACACCGCCCGU
rnacentral:rRNA from 1 species